UGUUAGUGCUCUCACACAAAAUAUGACAGUUACAAGUCCGAUGUUGAAUGGAUUGAUGUUUCCUGACAGGAAUUCUAACGGAAUGAUGGCGUUUUUGAAAUGGCUGACAGAGGGCCAGAGAGAGAUGGGGGAGGGUAGAGGUGGAAAGAGAAACGGUGAGAAAGAAAGAGAGAAAUGGAGUGACAGUCAGUGACGAAAAGGCCACUUCCUUCCACAAAAUCAGCAUCAGCGGAAGACUCAAACCAGCUGCUGCCAAAUUAACUGAUGAAGAUAAAGGGCACACCAAGUCUCACUGACCUGGCAAUUCAAAUAAAUACUUGCAUUUUCACAUGUUCUCUUUGACAACAAUGGCUAACACUAGACAAUUUUUAUCAAAAUUAACUAGCCUAAAAUGUUAAUUUCAGAACUGAGUGUUUUUUUUGUUUUGGUUUGUUUUGUUUUUAAUGAUGUUGUAAAUAUCAUCAUCAAAACUUGACUCACAUCGACUUGAAUGUGAUUAUUAGCAUGAGUAUAAUUUUUAACACUGUUUUAAUUAAUUAAGCUGAAUCUUGCUAGUUGUUAAAGCAUCACACAGAAUGUUGUCAUGGUAAAAGAACUGUCGUGCUCACGCACACACAUACAAUAGUACGGUCCUCAGUGAUAUUUCAUCUUGUCAUUGUGGACAAGGGCAGGCCCAUGUGUUGAAAUGUCCGCUGUAUUAUUUUCAGGCAGUGA